GAUGAACGCUGGCGGCGUGCCUAAUACAUGCAAGUCGAGCGAACAGAUGAGGAGCUUGCUCCUCUGACGUUAGCGGCGGACGGGUGAGUAACACGUGGAUAACCUACCUAUAAGACUGGGAUAACUUCGGGAAACCGGAGCUAAUACCGGAUAAUAUAUUGAACCGCAUGGUUCAAUAGUGAAAGGCGGUUUUGCUGUCACUUAUAGAUGGAUCCGCGCCGCAUUAGCUAGUUGGUAAGGUAACGGCUUACCAAGGCAACGAUGCGUAGCCGACCUGAGAGGGUGAUCGGCCACACUGGAACUGAGACACGGUCCAGACUCCUACGGGAGGCAGCAGUAGGGAAUCUUCCGCAAUGGGCGAAAGCCUGACGGAGCAACGCCGCGUGAGUGAUGAAGGUCUUCGGAUCGUAAAACUCUGUUAUUAGGGAAGAACAAAUGUGUAAGUAACUAUGCACGUCUUGACGGUACCUAAUCAGAAAGCCAUGGCUAACUACGUG
rnacentral:rRNA from 1 species